rnacentral:misc_RNA from 1 species
GAUGAAGAACGCAGCGAAAUGCGAUAAGUAAUGUGAAUUGCAGAAUUCAGUGAAUCAUCGAAUCUUUGAACGCACAUUGCGCCCACCAGUAUUCUGGCGGGCAUGCCUGUUCGAGCGUCAUUACAACCCUCAGGCCCCCGGGCCUGGCGUUGGGGAUCGGCGGAAGCCCCCUGCGGGCACAACGCCGUCCCCCAAAUACAGUGGCGGUCCCGCCGCAGCUUCCAUUGCGUAGUAGCUAACACCUCGCAACUGGAGAGCGGCGCGGCCACGCCGUAAAACACCCAACUUCUGAAUGUUGACCUCGAAUCAGGUAGGAAUACCCGCUGAACUUAAGCAUAUCAAUAAGCGGAGGA